rnacentral:rRNA from 1 species
UACGUAGGGGGCUAGCGUUGUCCGGAAUCAUUGGGCGUAAAGAGCGCGUAGGCGGCCAGAUAAGUCCGGUGUGAAAGUCAAGGGCUCAACCCUUGAAAGCCGGUUGAUACUGUCGGGCUAGAGUCCGGAAGAGGCGAGUGGAAUUCCCGGUGUAGCGGUGAAAUGCGCAGAUAUCGGGAGGAACACCAAUGGCGAAGGCAGCUCGCUGGGACGGUACUGACGCUGAGACGCGAAAGCGUGGGGAGCAAACAGG